UAAUUUUAUGCUUUAUUGAUUUCAACAGGGGCCGAAUGUGUUGCGAGAGAAGAUAUAAUGGAAGCCAUAGAAAGAGCCAAGUUUGGAAUAAAUGAGAGACAGACAGGUCGCAUACUAAAGAAGGAACUUGGGAAGCUCUUUCCUUGGAUUCCUUCUCUGAUGGGUAGAAAUGAUACUGGACAAGACGGAAUGCAAGGUCCUCUAGGCUAUCAAACUCUAAGCUAAUGGUAUGUUCCCUUCUAGUUUUUAUUCAUGGAUUUGUGUAACAUCCUCAUGAGUGUAUAAUAUUCAAAAGAAGGGAGUUUUGUUCACUAUAAGCUAAGAAUAUUGUUUUAAUCUAGAGUGGGAACUAUUUUUAUACUUCCAAAGGUCCUAUAAUGGGCAAUCUGAUGAUUUGAGACUUGAUUUGUUUAUUUUUGCAUGUACAAAUAUCUUCUAUCAUUUAAAGCUAGC
rnacentral:lncRNA from 1 species